GUGAUAGUUUGGUAGAAGAGAUAUUUGGGAUCAGAGGAUUUCUUCAGUGGUACCCUUCACAUCCAAAGGAAGAAGAAUCAUUACACAGUCAUCUGAUAUAACAACCACAUGAAGAAAUGAUGAUU
rnacentral:lncRNA from 1 species